rnacentral:misc_RNA from 1 species
GAAUUUCUAAUCAUCUUAGGGCAUAAAAGAGAUCUUGAAGCUCUCUGCUUGUGAAGUCAACAAUGGCACCUCUUCCUGGACCUUACUCUGGAACCAGCACCCUUGCUCUGGUGGCUCGUACUUCAGCCUUCACAUUUGGACUUGUCUAUGGUAGCAUGAAGCUCAAGUAUCUCAAGGCUAAAGCCAAGUCUCACCAGAAAGCUGAAGCUAAGGCACAUCACUGAAAGAGAGCAGUAUGCCGCAUUUGCUGUCUGUUAAAAAUAAUAUAUGACAAUCACAUUAUAUCAGUUUUCAUUAUGGCCCUGUUGCUGACCAUCAUUUUCGACUUGUAACUGUUCAAUUUUGUGUUCACGAGUUAUUAAAUGUUUUAUGGUCCAAUGAGUACAAUGGUGGUCCAAUUUUGAGGAUUAUAUUGGACAAACCGGGGAAAAGUUAGCAUUGAUCUGCUAGCAUAAUAAUCUUCUUGUUACAUCAACUUAUCCAGGAAAAGGCUUUUUUAGUUUGUGUUUGAUCGACUAAUGAUGAAGAUAUGCUGACUUAUUGUCUUGAUUCAAGGUUUUUUUUUUCCUGUUUGAGGUAGACAGCGAAGGGAACAUAUCGUUAUUCCUUUCUUUGUUUUCUUUUAG